rnacentral:rRNA from 1 species
GACGAACGCUGGCGGCGUGCUUAACACAUGCAAGUCGAACGAAGAGUGAUGGAAGCUUGCUUCUAUCAAUCUUAGUGGCGAACGGGUGAGUAACGCGUAAUCAACCUGCCCUUCAGAGGGGGACAACAGUUGGAAACGACUGCUAAUACCGCAUACGAUCUAAACUCGGCAUCGAGGAUAGAUGAAAGGUGGCCUCUACAUGUAAGCUAUCACUGAAGGAGGGGAUUGCGUCUGAUUAGCUAGUUGGAGGGGUAACGGCCCACCAAGGCGAUGAUCAGUAGCCGGUCUGAGAGGAUGAACGGCCACAUUGGGACUGAGACACGGCCCAGACUCCUACGGGAGGCAGCAGUGGGGAAUCUUCCGCAAUGGACGAAAGUCUGACGGAGCAACGCCGCGUGAGUGAUGACGGCCUUCGGGUUGUAAAGCUCUGUUAAUCGGGACGAAAGGCCUUCUUGCGAAUAGUGAGAAGGAUUGACGGUACCGGAAGAGAAAGCCACGGCUAACUACGUG